GAUGGGUUAAAACUCACUGGGUAC
rnacentral:siRNA from 1 species